rnacentral:rRNA from 1 species
AGACUCGCUAAUAUCGGGUCUAUUUGACAAAGGCUCCAAAGGAAGCCACGGCUAACUCUGUGCCAGCAGCCGCGGUAAUACAGAGGUGGCAAGCGUUGUUCGGAAUUAUUGGGCGUAAAGAGCACGUAGGUGGAUUUGUAAGUCAGACGUGAAAGCCUUCUGUUCAACGGAAGAAUUGCAUCUGAAACUACAAACCUUGAGUGUAGGAGGGGAGAGUGGAAC